rnacentral:rRNA from 1 species
GUCGAGCGGGCGUAGCAAUACGUCAGCGGCAGACGGGUGAGUAACGCGUGGGAACGUACCUUUUGGUUCGGAACAACACAGGGAAACUUGUGCUAAUACCGGAUAAGCCCUUACGGGGAAAGAUUUAUCGCCGAAAGAUCGGCCCGCGUCUGAUUAGCUAGUUGGUAGGGUAACGGCCUACCAAGGCGACGAUCAGUAGCUGGUCUGAGAGGAUGAUCAGCCACAUUGGGACUGAGACACGGCCCAAACUCCUACGGGAGGCAGCAGUGGGGAAUAUUGGACAAUGGGGGCAACCCUGAUCCAGCCAUGCCGCGUGAGUGAUGAAGGCCCUAGGGUUGUAAAGCUCUUUUGUGCGGGAAGAUAAUGACGGUACCGCAAGAAUAAGCCCCGGCUAACUUCGUGCCAGCAGCCGCGGUAAUACGAAGGGGGCUAGCGUUGCUCGGAAUCACUGGGCGUAAAGGGUGCGUAGGCGGGUCUUUAAGUCAGGGGUGAAAUCCUGGAGCUCAACUCCAGAACUGCCUUUGAUACUGAAGAUCUUGAGUUCGGGAGAGGUGAGUGGAACUGCGAGUGUAGAGGUGAAAUUCGUAGAUAUUCGCAAGAACACCAGUGGCGAAGGCGGCUCACUGG